CAGUUGCAGCAUUGUGUGUGAGAACAAAAUAUUUUAAAUCACCUGAAAGCAACAAGAAGAAACUUUAUCUUGAUGAAAUGACUAAGCUGCUUUUACCUGGAACUUUAAUAUAUGUGAAGGAAGGCUGUCUUCUAUGGUGAUAAUCCAAUUAAGACUGGCUCCCACUGAAGAUGUCAAGAUGGCUGCAGCAACUUUGGGCCUCACAUUCCCUCAGGUGUGGGAAUGUUUUUGUUAUUCAUGACAAGCACCUUGGACCACACCUGAUAGUUAUCAGUAACAAGGCCGUUACAAGAUAGUUUAUGUUAACAAGAUGAUUCAAGGUGGGGCUGGCCACGAGAGAAGACCAAGUGAUUAGAAGACUGGGGCUUUCUCGUCUGGGAAGUGAGGAGCGUCUCUCCUCGGCCGCCACCCCGUCUGGGAAGUGAGGAGCGCCUCUGCCCGGCCACUGUGCAACCUUCCAAGUGCGAAGUGACAGCCUUGCGUGUGAUCUUUUCUGUCUUCCCCAAGUUUGCAUUUUCGACAUUCAAGUUUACUUUUUAGUUAAAAGUUAAAAAAAAAAAAGACUGGGGUUUUGGGCCACGUCACUUCACCCUGACUUCCAGGCAGGGGAGGGAGACUGGCAGUUGGGUUCAGCCACGUGGACAAUAAUUCAAUCAAUUGUGCCUAUUGUACGAAGCCCUAAUAAAAAUUCUGGACAUAAGAGCUGGGUGAGUUUCCUUCUCAGUAUCGUCCCCUUUGUUGAUGGGAGG
rnacentral:lncRNA from 1 species